UAGGGAAUCUUCCACAAUGGACGCAAGUCUGAUGGAGCAACGCCGCGUGAGUGAAGAAGGUUUUCGGGUUGUAAAGCACUUUCAGCGAGGAGGAAGGGUAGUGUGUUAAUAGCACAUUGCAUUGACGUUACUCGCAGAAGAGGCACCGGCUAACUCCGUGCCAGCAGCCGCGGUAAUACGGAGGGUGCAAGCGUUAAUCGGAAUUACUGGGCGUAAAGCGCACGCAGGCGGUUUGUUAAGUCAGAUGUGAAAUCCCCGCGCUUAACGUGGGAACUGCAUUUGAAACUGGCAAGCUAGAGUCUUGUAGAGGGGGGUAGAAUUCCAGGUGUAGCGGUGAAAUGCGUAGAGAUCUGGAGGAAUACCGGUGGCGAAGGCGGCCCCCUGGACAAAGACUGACGCUCAGGUGCGAAAGCGUGGG
rnacentral:rRNA from 1 species